GGAACCGGACGACACCUCCUCCAGUUGCUAUCCAGCGGCCAGCGCCUACGUCGUCCUCUCGCAAUCCGUGGAGACAGUGCUGGGGCGGCCUGUUUCGGUGCUAUCCGCUGUUCAGGCACUUAGUACCACAAGGUUAGCUUGGCCUUCCUUGCUACAGAGAGUUGGCCUCAGCUAGGUCGCCCCUGCCGAAUUUUGGAUUAGCUCCAGGUAAAAGAGCUCGUCUCUCUCAGGCUGUGGCGGAGGAGCUGGUCCAGCUGAGGGUGGAGGUACUCGCCUCCUGACUCGGGGGGCAUUCCGCACACGGGGUCAAGAUGUGUUAAGAGGAUGAGGUACCAGGAGGUGUAUUGUCCUGCCGGGCUGACUGUUCCCGCCACUACCCGCUCCCACCAAGACCGCCGGGACUGCCAGCGCUGACAGAUGUCUGGGAGUUCGAUGUGGCGGCACAAUUUUUCUCAGACCAGGGAAGAAAAUUAUUCCUCAUCUUCUCUCUUAGAGGCUGGAAGAAAUGAUCAGAAGUGAUUGGUUCAUACCUUACAAAUUCACACCUUCUCCAGAGUGUAAAUGAUUAGAGUUUAUAUGCAUCUCAAGUUCUUUCCCAGUGAUAAGUGAAAACAUGAACAUUUUUUAAUAUAUAUUCAGGAAGCUAGAGGAAGUACCAAUACAGGUUACUAAAACCACAUGUGUCCAUAAUAAUGUGUCAACAAGUGAUGUUUUCCUUCAAAACAAGGAUAUUGAAAAUAAGAGUAAACAAAAAACCCUCAUGUAGCAUUA